rnacentral:rRNA from 1 species
CCGUAGGUGAACCUGCGGAAGGAUCAUUAAUGAUGCCCUCGACGCCUUUACCGGCUGGUAGGGUUGUGCCGGUCUCUUUGGAGCUGGCCUCAUCUCACACACCGUGAACUGUGGCUUCGGCCAUUUACACAAACUGUUAGUAAUGAAUGUAAUAUCAUAACAAACAUAAAACUUUUAACAACGGAUCUCUUGGCUCUCGCAUCGAUGAAGAACGCAGCGAAAUGCGAUAAGUAAUGUGAAUUGCAGAAUUCAGUGAAUCAUCGAAUCUUUGAACGCACCUUGCGCCCUUUGGUAUUCCGAAGGGCAUGCCUGUUUGAGUGUCAUGAAACCUCACCCCACUUGGGUUUUUGCCUGAGCGGUUGGUGGAUUGGGCGUUGCCGUCAAUGGCUCGCCUUAAAAGUAUAAGCGCCUUGGAUGUAAUACGUUUCAUCCUUAUGGGUGGCUGAUAACCCCACAUAUCUCAUGAUCUGGCCUCAAAUCAGGUAAGGGCUACCCGCCUGAACUUAAGCAUACAA